GCCUCUGUGGCGGAAUGGUAGACGCGGCAGACUCAAAAUCUGUUGUCCGCAAGGACGUGGGGGUUCGAGUCCCUCCAGGGGCACCA
rnacentral:tRNA from 1 species